rnacentral:misc_RNA from 1 species
CUCCCAACUAACUGUGCUUCUUAACAGCAAAACACUGGAAAAUGAGUGUUACAAGAACGUAAAUUAGUAAAAUAAUUGAUAUGUACAACAGGUUGAAUAGUUAUAUGAUACAAUUUCUGUUACAACACGGUACAAUUUCUGUUUAUAAUUACUUAAAAAGUCAAACCUAGUGAGGGAAAAGAGGAUCAUAUAGGGGCAGGGGGUUCUCUAGAAUACACUGCACUCUACGUAUUUACGAAAGAAUUCCUCCUCUUUGCAGUACCUAUAAAUAACUUUGAAAACCUCGAUCAAGAGUUUUGGAAAUCGGCAUGAAAAAUAAUUCUCAAAUCCUUCUGGAUGAGAUCCUAAUAUUUCUUUGAUUUCUUGAGGAAGUUCCCUAUAGUGAUGUGACUUGUUGCGUAUUACCCGCAACAAAUCACGGACGCUAUCAUACUUAUACCGCCUGUACCGACCAAUAUUGUUGAUAAAUGCAGCUUCCAUCUUUUCAUCCCAUUUCCCAUUCAAUGCCAUUGUUCCAACAGUCUCUAAUGCAGUUAAGAGUUCCGAUUCAUUCUCCCUAUCUUCCAGUUCAACCCUAUCACUGACAUCCUGAAGAAAUAAGAGUCUUUUCUCAGAAGUCCAGAACAAAGGAUGGUUCAAUACCUCCUGAGCUUUUGGCCUCUUAUCUGGGUUAGGAUCCAAGAGGCAAGAAAAUAGAUCCACAGCUUCUGGUAUAUUCUCCACCAAGAACAGGUCUUUUCGGUCAUUCACAAUAUUUACAUCACGUUCAAUAUUGUCGCCAAAAGGGUGCUUUCCUCCUGUGAC